AACGAACGCUGGCGGCGCGCUUAACACAUGCAAGUCGAGCGGUCUGGGGGCAACUCCAGGCAGCGGCGGACGGGUGCGUAACACGUGGAUAAUCUGCCCUAGAGACGGGGAUAACCAGCCGAAAGGUUGGCUAAUACCCGGUAAGCUCACGGACCCGAAGGGGUCAGGGAGAAAAGUCGCAAGACGCUCUAGGAUGAGUCCGCGGCCCAUCAGGUAGUUGGCGGGGUAAAGGCCCACCAAGCCUACGACGGGUAGCUGGUCUGAGAGGACGACCAGCCACACUGGAACUGAGACACGGUCCAGACUCCUACGGGAGGCAGCAGUGGGGAAUCUUGCGCAAUGGGCGAAAGCCUGACGCAGCGACGCCGCGUGUGCGAUGAAGGUCUUCGGAUCGUAAAGCACUGUCGCCCGGGAAAAAGAAAGUGAUGGUACCGGGAAAGGAAGCACCGGCUAACUCUGUG
rnacentral:rRNA from 1 species